UACGGAGGGUGCGAGCGUUGUCCGGAAUCACUGGGCGUAAAGGGCGCGUAGGCGGCCUCUUAAGGGUGCGGUGAAAGUCCGGGGCUCAACCCCGGAUCGGCCGUGCCGACUGAGAGGCUGGAGCACUGUAGAGGCGGAGUGGAAUUCCGGGUGUAGCGGUGGAAUGCGUAGAGAUCCGGAAGAACACCGGUGGCGAAGGCGGCCUGCUGGGCAGUAGCUGACGCUGAUGCGCGACAGCGUGGGGAGCAAACAGG
rnacentral:rRNA from 1 species